rnacentral:rRNA from 1 species
AUUGAACGCUGGCGGCAGGCCUAACACAUGCAAGUCGAGCGAGCGGCGGACGGGGGAGUAAUGCCUAGGAAUCUGCCAGGUAGUGGGGGAUAAGGUCCGGAAACGGUAGCUAAUACCGCUUACCCUCCGAACUGCACAUACGGGUUUAGCUUGUUGGGGGGGUAACGGCUCACCACGGCGACGAUCCCUAGCUGGUCUGAGAGGAUGAUCAGUCACACUGGAACUGAGACACGGUCCAGACUCCUACGGGAGGCAGCAGUGGGGAAUAUUGGACAAUGGGCGCAAGCCUGAUGCAGCCAUGCCGCGUGUAUGAAGAAGGCCUUCGGGUUGUAAAGUACUUUCAGCGGGGAGGCAUUACCCGCAGAAGAAGCACCGGCUAACUCCGUGCCAGCAGCCGCGGUAAUAC